GCAUGAGAAGCUCAAUUGCAAGAGCGCCGGUCUUGUAAACCGGAGGCCGAAGGUUAAAAUCCUUCCUUGUGCU
rnacentral:tRNA from 2 species